rnacentral:rRNA from 2 species
GGCAUGCUGGAGGUAUCAGAAGUGCGAAUGCUGACAUAAGUAACGAUAAAGCGGGUGAAAAGCCCGCUCGCCGGAAGACCAAGGGUUCCUGUCCAACGUUAAUCGGGGCAGGGUGAGUCGACCCCUAAGGCGAGGCCGAAAGGCGUAGUCGAUGGGAAACAGGUUAAUAUUCCUGUACUUGGUGUUACUGCGAAGGGGGGACGGAGAAGGCUAUGUUGGCCGGGCGACGGUUGUCCCGGUUUAAGCGUGUAGGCUGGUUUUCCAGGCAAAUCCGGAAAAUCAAGGCUGAGGCGUGAUGACGAGGCACUACGGUGCUGAAGCAACAAAUGCCCUGCUUCCAGGAAAAGCCUCUAAGCAUCAGGUAACAUCAAAUCGUACCCCAAACCGACACAGGUGGUCAGGUAGAGAAUACCAAGGCGCUUGAGAGAACUCGGGUGAAGGAACUAGGCAAAAUGGUGCCGUAACUUCGGGAGAAGGCACGCUGAUAUGUAGGUGAAGUCCCUCGCGGAUGGAGCUGAAAUCAGUCGAAGAUACCAGCUGGCUGCAACUGUUUAUUAAAAACACAGCACUGUGCAAACACGAAAGUGGACGUAUACGGUGUGACGCCUGCCCGGUGC